rnacentral:rRNA from 1 species
AUUGAACGCUGGCGGCAUGCCUUACACAUGCAAGUCGAACGGCAGCACGGGAGCUUGCUCCUGGUGGCGAGUGGCGAACGGGUGAGUAAUACAUCGGAACGUACCCUGAAGUGGGGGAUAACGUAGCGAAAGUUACGCUAAUACCGCAUAUUCUGUGAGCAGGAAAGAGGGGGAUCGCAAGACCUCUUGCUUUAGGAGCGGCCGAUGUCGGAUUAGCUAGUUGGUGAGGUAAAGGCUCACCAAGGCGACGAUCCGUAGCGGGUCUGAGAGGAUGAUCCGCCACACUGGGACUGAGACACGGCCCAGACUCCUACGGGAGGCAGCAGUGGGGAAUUUUGGACAAUGGGCGCAAGCCUGAUCCAGCCAUGCCGCGUGAGUGAAGAAGGCCUCGGUUGUAAAG